rnacentral:rRNA from 1 species
CUGAAACAUCUAAGUACCUGGAGGAAGAGAAAGAAAAAUCGAUUUCCUGAGUAGCGGCGAGCGAAACGGAAAGAGCCCAAACCAAGAAGCUUGCUUCUUGGGGUUGUAGGACACUCUAUACGGAGUUACAAAAGAAAGUUAUAAAUGAAGCGGUCUGGAAAGGCCCGCCAAAGACGGUAACAGCCCGGUAGUUGAAAUGGCUUUCCCUCCAGAGUGGAUCCUGAGUACGGCGGAACACGUGAAAUUCCGUCGGAAUCCGGGAGGACCAUCUCCCAAGGCUAAAUACUCCCUAGUGACCGAUAGUGAACCAGUACCGUGAGGGAAAGGUGAAAAGCACCCCGGAAGGGGAGUGAAACAGUUCCUGAAACCGUGUGCCUACAAGUAGUUAGAGCCCGUUAAUGGGUGAUAGCGUGCCUUUUGUAGAAUGAACCGGCGAGUUACGAUUUGUUGCAAGGUUAAGCGGAAAAAGCGGAGCCGUAGCGAAAGCGAGUCUGAAUAGGGCGCAUAAGUAACAGGUCGUAGACCCGAAACCAGGUGAUCUACCCAUGUCCAGGAUGAAGGUAAGGUAAUACUUACUGGAGGUCCGAACCCACGCACGUUGAAAAGUGCGGGGAUGAGGUGUGGGUAGCGGAGAAAUUCCAAUCGAACUUGGAGAUAGCUGGUUCUCUCCGAAAUAGCUUUAGGGCUAGCCUCGAGGUAAAGAGUCAUGGAGGUAGAGCACUGUUUGGACUAGGGGCCCUUCUCGGGUUACCGAAUUCAGAUAAACUCCGAAUGCCAUGUACUUAUACUCGGGAGUCAGACUGCGAGUGAUAAGAUCCGUAGUCGAAAGGGAAACAGCCCAGACCACCAGUUAAGGUCCCCAAAUAUAUGUUAAGUGGAAAAGGAUGUGGGGUUGCUUAGACAACCAGGAUGUUGGCUUAGAAGCAGCCACCAUUGAAAGAGUGCGUAAUAGCUCACUGGUCGAGUGACCCCGCGCCGAAAAUGUACCGGGGCUAAACAUAUUACCGAAACUGUGGAUGAACCUCUUUAGAGGUUCGUGGUAGGAGAGCGUUCUAAGGGCGGUGAAGUCAGACCGGAAGGACUGGUGGAGCGCUUAGAAGUGAGAAUGCCGGUAUGAGUAGCGAAAGAAGGGUGAGAAUCCCUUCCACCGAAUAUCUAAGGUUUCCUGAGGAAGGCUCGUCCGCUCAGGGUUAGUCGGGACCUAAGCCGAGGCCGAUAGGCGUAGGCGAUGGACAACAGGUAGAGAUUCCUGUACCAGUGCUAAUUGUUUAACCGAUGGGGUGACACAGAAGGAUAGGGAAUCGCACGAAUGGAAAUGUGCGUCCAAGCAGUGAGUGUGAGAAGUAGGCAAAUCCGCUUCUCGCGAAGCAUGAGCUGUGAUGGGGAAGGAAAUUAAGUACGGAAGUUCCUGAUUUCACGCUGUCAAGAAAAGCCUCUAGGAAGAGUAGUACUGCCCGUACCGCAAACCGACACAGGUAGAUGAGGAGAGAAUCCUAAGGUGAGCGAGAGAACUCUCGUUAAGGAACUCGGCAAAAUGACCCCGUAACUUCGGGAGAAGGGGUGCUCUAUUAGGGUGCAAGCCCGAGAGAGCCGCAGUGAAUAGGCCCAGGCGACUGUUUAGCAAAAACACAGGUCUCUGCAAAACCGUAAGGUGACGUAUAGGGGCUGACGCCUGCCCGGUGCUGGAAGGUUAAGAGGAGUGCUUAGCUUCGGCGAAGGUACGAAUUGAAGCCCCAGUAAACGGCGGCCGUAACUAUAACGGUCCUAAGGUAGCGAAAUUCCUUGUCGGGUAAGUUCCGACCCGCACGAAAGGCGCAACGAUCUGGGCACUGUCUCAACGAGAGACUCGGUGAAAUUAUAGUACCUGUGAAGAUGCAGGUUACCCGCGACAGGACGGAAAGACCCCGUGGAGCUUUACUGCAACCUGAUAUGGAA